rnacentral:rRNA from 1 species
UACGUAGGGUGCAAGCGUUUGUCCGGAAUUAUUGGGCGUAAAGAGCUCGUAGGCGGCUUGUCACGUCGGGUGUGAAAGCCCGGGCUUAACCCCGGGUCUGCAUUCGAUACGGGCUAGCUAGAGUGUGGUAGGGGAGAUCGGAAUUCCUGGUGUAGCGGUGAAAUGCGCAGAUAUCAGGAGGAACACCGGUGGCGAAGGCGGAUCUCUGGGCCAUUACUGACGCUGAGGAGCGAAGGCCAGGGGAGCAAACGGG